UGCCCUUGCGCGCCUGCGGACGCGCGCGUUGCCGCCAGGGCGGCUCUUGGCCGGCCUUGCCGCGGGAGGUGCCGCGCUCGGCGAGAGCGGGGCGCCCCUUUCUCCUCCUGGAAAGGGGUUCUGGCCUGGACCUUCUGCUGUGCUGCUCACUGAGCCCCCCUUCCCCCCUUGCUUUAGUUCCCUUUCGUUUUAUUUUCCCCUUUAUUAUUAUUUUCCUCUUUAUUCCCAUACUUAAGUGGGCACUGAGGGUGGGGAGUGGAGCAGGAGAGGCCUCUGCUUGAAUGAUGUGUAAUGUGCUACCCAUAUAGCCCAGUAUAGGGUUCUGGUGUAUGCAGGUGUAAGGAAAAUUGUCUAGUAAAGGGAAACAGGAAAAUGCUAUGAAAUGAUUACCAAAAAGGAGAAGAAAGACGGAGGAAAGUGUGAAGGCUUCUAGUGUGGACCUCAGACAAAGUGUUUGCUAUCUGCAAGAAGCCUAGAACAGCGAUCAGUGAAGUUCAGCUCUGAUUCUGAAGGUAUGCUGUGAUGUUCCUUUCGUUUCAGCAAAGAUUUUAAACCAUUCGGUGCAGACCAGUUUGUCUUGAAGCAAGCACUGGAAAGAACCAUUAGCUACUUAAGUUCAUAUACUUCAGAGAUACAGAAAGAUGAGCAGACUGUCAGAAGGCCUUUGUAACUGAAGGACAAGACAGAUUUUAAGAAAGAUAUGAAGGCUGCUCUGAGCUCAAUGUGUAUUUUAAGGAGGCAGCAUGGAGGAGAAAAUUAGUAGCUCCAAGAGUAAUACUCUGCUUGUAACUGCUCACUAAGGGGCACAUUCACAUGCUGAAGAAAUCACUGACUGUGCUUUAGAUCUGGUGGGAAAGGUGAACUCUGUUAAGUCUCUGUAGGGGCUGCCGGCGGCUUCAGGACCUUGUGCCAUGUGCAGUCGUCACCCAGCCGAGUGGCAGAAACCUCUCCCAAGCCUGCUGCACCGCUGCCCUGGAAACUUCCCCCGUGGAUUUCUCUGGGGGUGUUUUACUGAACAAAAAAAAUUCAUUUAGGCAAUGGAACUGUGUUCCUAUGUUGGAAUAAGCUAGUACUAAUCAGUUCAGAACAAAUUUCCAUCAUUCUGAAGCUCAGAUGAUGGAUCAAGAAGACAUAUCUCAAGUACCAAGCUGUGGAGAACUGGACAGUGAGAUGUUUCUUCCUUUUUCUGCACCUGUUUCUUCACCUUCAAGAACAACACUAUGUGUGCCAGUUCAUCACAGACUGCUGACAAAGAGGAAUCCAUGUGAGCGUGUCCACGUGGAAGGCAAUGAGAGCAAUCUGUGCUGCAGCUGUGAGGCUGGAGGUUGGAGUGGGCAUCUGCAUGCUCUGUAGGUGACAGAAAACUGAUGGAGAUCACUUGGCUGUGACUGAUGGAUGAAGACCAAAGUCUUCCAGGUCUGUAAAGAGCAGAAAAGUCCCGAGCAAUAUGUGACCAACUGAAGGGAUCACAAUGAACCAAACUGAUCUGGCUGUCUAGUAGUGUUUCAGACUUCUAUAUGAGACAGGAAUACCCGCUUUGAAGCAUAUUUUGGAAGAUGCACAGCUGAAGGGACCAGGACAUGAGUGUGAAGACCUGCAGCUGUUGCUGCAGAAGAUUGAAUGCUGGGCCCAAAGUGUUUUUCCAGAAAUGAAAUUUGAAGAUUUUAUUAGAAAACUUGAAGAAUGUGAAGUGACAGACUGGAUUUGGGUGCAACAGAGACUUUGGGCUAUUUAUUUAUUUACCAAAAUUUAUUUGUAAUGUGUGUGGGGGAAUUGUUUUAAAGAAGUGAUAAUGGAAAAUUUUGAAUGAAAAAACAAGUAAUUUUUUUCCACUGCUGUGAUAAUCCAUUGUGUUAAUUCCUACUAAAUGGUCUGCUUACAUGAUACUGUUCCUAAAUAAAUACGAAUUUUAACUAAACUGUGGAAUGCAGUUAUCUAAAGUGUAACCCCAGAGUCACUCUUCUAAACUGAGAGUCUCAAAAUAGGAGCUUAGCAAAAAGACUGUUGAAAUUUUGAUCAUCUGUUGUUUUAUUUUCUGCAUGUAGUUAGCGUUUAUGUAGCUAUUUCCUUCAAUAUGAUACCUUUUUGUGUCAGGCCUGUGAAUUCAAAACCAAAUUUUAAACCCAUCAAUGCUGCAUUGAUGGAGGAGAUAAAUUCUCUGCAGAAAUGUUGACCAUGUACUCAUUGUCUUUGGUUCUUAAGACCUUAAAGCAAAUUAUUGUGGACUUUUGGAGCUUACGGGUAGUGAUUCCUGUAACACUACUGUCAGUGGUAUAUAUAAACAUGGUAAAACAUAUCUGAUUGA